rnacentral:rRNA from 1 species
UACGUAGGGUGCGAGCGUUGUCCGGAAUUACUGAGCGUAAAGAGCUCGUAGGUGGUUUGUCGCGUUGUUCGUGAAAACUCACAACUCAAUUGUGGGCGUGCGGGCGAUACGGGCAGACUGGAGUACUGCAGGGGAGACUGGAAUUCCUGGUGUAGCGGUGGAAUGCGCAGAUAUCAGGAGGAACACCGGAGGCGAAGGCGGGAUCCUGGGCCAGUACUGACGCUGAGGAGCGAAAGCGUGGGGAGCAAACAGG